GUACUAAGUUAGCCCCAAACGAUUUGUUCCCACUAAACGCCGCGUUUCGAUAUGGUGCACAGAGGACUAGACCGGCGAUGGCUUCCGCGGGGAAAUGGACAGCACAGACGAUGAUGAAGAACCAUCCGACCAGCUGAUGAAGACGGUAUCUCUUCAUUUUUCCGGUUAAGACUCGGAUGAACCGGAUUUUUCAGUCUCAAUCAUCGAGAUAUCUAGUUUGCAGCUUGGAGCUGGAACUGCAUUGCCAGGUUUGGUUGCGGAAAAAUUAGGCACCGAUGUCACUCUUACAGAUGCUUCCGACAGAGUAGAGAGAUAGUACUGAAGUCUUAAAAGUUGAAGUUAAUUGCCUUUUAUCAGCAUGUGCAGCUGCACAAAGAUCCAGCUACUCCAAAAAAACUAAAGCUGUUUUUUUCUUCUUUUUUCGGGAUGGGAGGGAUUACAAACCCUGCCCUGAGGAUGGGAUGGUUAGCAGCAACCAUUUGUGAAGCGUUGAAAUUGCGGAUUCUGCUUUGGAAGGAUGAACAAUGAGAAAAUCCUAGAGUAUGCCCUCCUGGACAAGAAUUCAGUCAUUUGGUUAGGGGAAGUAAGAGUCUACUAUCAACUGCUGCGAUAUGCUAAAGGUUGGAGCUGGCAAUUGUGUUGUUUCACUGGCUCUAGACACUAUACCAUCUUUCCUUCCUUUUGGCACCUCCCAUGUAGGACCUCCAGACUGCAAAACAAAAUUCAGAAACCACUUACUAGACCAACUGCAUCUCUGGCAGCACAAGCCAAGAUAUCAGCACAUGAUACCACACCAGGACACACAGCUUCCAGUUCUUCCUUGGCAUUGUCAAUUACAUAAAACGAGCGCAGUGAAACAUUAGGCGGCCCGUCUUUCUCUGCUUUGUCACUCCCUUGGGAGUUCAACAACACAGAGGCAUCACAGCCCUUCAAAGUGUAGCAAAGAGGUUUCGGGUCAGUAACGAAUAUAUAUAGUUAUAUGAAUGGAGUACAGACAGCUUUAGAUAAGAUGAUUUCCUACGUACCCUUAUGAAACAGUCAUGAAAAUGCAUUCUGAGUAAGGCUGCAGCCACCGUUUUGUCUUUCAUGAUUGCAUUCCUGACUGCUUUUGCAACUAUCAACUCUGCAUCAGGGCAUGUUUUCUCAUAGUAAUUCAAGCUUAAUGAAGCUCCUAGUGAAGACACUGAUAGAAUGAUGAAAAGGGAUCUCAAAAUUGCAGCAAUGACAAACAUGUGGAAGGUGCCGACCGAAUUUAUUCGGUCAACCACUUGGAUGAUAGCAUGGAGGAAAUUAUAUAAACUUAGGAGGUUCUGAGUUUGAUUUUCAUUGGAAGCAAUAUUUUUGUAACCAUGCAUUGAUUUUUGGUUUAAUUUAU